UACGUAGGGCGCAAGCGUUGUCCGGAAUUAUUGGGCGUAAAGAGCUCGUAGGCGGUCUGUCGCGUCCGCUGUGAAAACUCGAGGCUCAACCUCGGGCUUGCAGUGGAUACGGGCAGACUAGAGUGCGGUAGGGGAGACUGGAAUUCCUGGUGUAGCGGUGGAAUGCGCGGAUAUCAGGAGGAACACCGGUGGCGAAGGCGGCAUCCUGGACCGGUAUUGACGCUGAUGCGCGAAAGCCAGGGGAGCAAACGGG
rnacentral:rRNA from 1 species